AGCCUUUUGUAUCAGUGCUGAAAUUUCGUCACACACCAGACCGCAAGAGCUGAUGAGACUAGAACAUAGGCA
rfam:Schistosoma haematobium scaffold733_13, whole genome shotgun sequence.